UGGGGAAUCUUGGACAAUGGGCGCAAGCCUGAUCCAGCCAUGCCGCGUGAGUGAAGAAGGCCUUCGGGUUGUAAAGCUCUUUUACCAGGGACGAUAAUGACGGUACCUGGAGAAUAAGCCCCGGCAAACUUCGUGCCAGCAGCCGCGGUAAUACGAAGGGGGCUAGCGUUGUUCGGAAUUACUGGGCGUAAAGCGCACGUAGGCGGAUUGUUAAGUCAGAGGUGAAAUCCCGGAGCUCAACUUCGGAACUGCCUUUGAUACUGACAAUCUAGAGUCCGGAAGAGGUUAGUGGAAUUCCCAGUGUAGAGGUGAAAUUCGUAGAUAUUGGGAAGAACACCAGUGGCGAAGGCGGCUAACUGGUCCGGUACUGACGCUGAGGCGCGAAAGCCAGGGGAGCAAACGGGAUUAGAUACCCCCGUAGUCCCUGAGCGGGCUGGCAAGGCGCAU
rnacentral:rRNA from 1 species